rnacentral:lncRNA from 1 species
GCCGUAUCGAGAUCGACUGCAACGCUGAGGGCGUCCUCUUCGUCGAGGCGGAUACCGGCUCUGUCAUCGACGAUUUCGGUGAUUUCGCCCCUACUCUGGAGCUCCGGCAACUCAUUCCGACGGUGGAUUACUCCGGCGACAUUGGAUCCUAUUCUCUCCUCAUACUGCAGGUACUCCUCUCUUUCUAAUUUAUUUAUUUAUGUUUUUAAUAUAAGUUAAUUUAUCAUAUAAAUAGUCGGAUAUUAGGAAAUAUUUCGUUAAAGCUCUAUCAAUCCUUACAUAUUCUUAAAAAUUAUAAAAAUAAUUGAAAGGGUUUCAAAAUUAGGUAAAUCUUAAUCUAUGUAAAUUGAGAUGCCUUUAAUCUUCUCCAUCCCUUUUAUUUUAAUUUUUAAUUUUUUUUUAAAACAGAAAAUUUUCAAAAUUUUAGUCAGAUACACUUUGACCCAAAAAGAAAAAGAAAAAAAAGUUGAUGAAUGGUGAGUAAGGAUUUGUGUUUGUCGUGUUCAUGGGCAUUCCUGUAGAAGUUCCAAUUCCAGACCCGUCAUUGGUCGUGUUAAAUGCCACAACCUGUUUCCAUACGUACAAGGAAUAUGGCCGUAUCCACCACCUAAUUUAAGUUGGGAGGUGGUUGGCCCGUCUCGGGAAUAGCUUUUACCAUCCAAAAAGCAAUUAAGAAAUAUUUUUUUCCAUUUGAACAUAGACAAUGAAGGCCGGAUCCGAUCCAAAUGAAAUAUGAUAUUAUAAUUGCUAAUUAAUACCCUUGCUUUAUUAGAUUAUUUUUAUUUUUUGCAAUGGAAUUGGUUGUUUUGAUGUGUGUCUGAAGUAACAUUGAAAUUAACAUUCUACACGUGACACCGACUUUUGAGACAAAACGUAGUGAUGUGGGAAACUGGUAGAAAAACAUUUUCCUUGUCAAUGUGUGGGUGAAACUUUGUCAUGCCAAACAUUACCUAAACAAGUAACUUAGUCUGUUGUGUUGACGAUCAUGCGACCAACUACCUACCUACUAUGAAAAUGGUGGUGUGGAAAGCACUCACACGUCUCAAUUAUUUUUUUAUUUUUUGUGAUUUUUAUGAACUCUUGACAAUACAAACGUGAAUUCACUCAGAUUCGUACCAAUGAUUUUACAGUGCGGUCCCUUCUGUCUGUUGGAAAUUUGGAAGCUUCCCAAUUUGAUUGAACAUUUUAGAAGGCCUUAUUAAUUCUUGGUUUUAAAUUCACUUGGGAUAGGUAACACAUUUCAAAUGUGGUGGAGUGUCGUUAGGCGUGGGUAUGCAGCACCACGUAGCGGACGGUGCGUCUGGGCUGCACUUCAUAAACACGUGGUCAGACAUGGCGCGUGGUUUGGACAUCACCAUCCCUCCCUUCAUCGACCGCACCCUCCUACGGGCCCGCGACCCACCCCAGCCUGCUUUCCACCACAUUGAGUACCAACCCCCUCCCCAGCUCAAAACCCCACUACCCAACACUCAGAACACCAAUGUUUGCAUCUUCAGGAUCACCCGGGACCAGCUCAACACCCUCAAGAACAAAUCAAAAGAAGAUGGCAACACAAUCAGUUAUAGCUCCUACGUCAUGCUUGCCGGCCACGUCUGGCGCUGCGCCUGCAAGGCACGGUCCCUACCCGCCGACCAAGACAGCAAGAUGUAUAUCGCCACCGACGGUCGCUCACGCCUCCGCCCCGCCUUGCCCCCUGGAUACUUCGGAAACGUCAUAUUCACGACGACGCCGGUGGCCGUCGCUGGAGAAUUGAUGUCCAAACCGCUGUGGUACGCCGCCAGCAAGAUCCACAACGCACUGGCGAGGAUGGAUGACGAGUAUUUAAGG